rnacentral:miRNA from 1 species
UACAUCUGUGUGGAUGUGUGUAAAUGUAUGUACAUACCACAGCACAUGUG